GGGCGAGACGUCUGUCGUAAGUUAGCUUGGAAGUGGUGUGAUUUGACAUUAACUGAUGUGAACAGAAUAAUUUGUGAACAUUUUUAUUUUUAUGUGCUAAAUAUUGUGAUAAGUUAAUGCAAGUUUGUGAUGACGUCAACCCUACACCGGGACCAACGUCAGGUAUUGGUCUAAAUAUCACAGAGUGCAACAAAGUCUUUCUCCCCGAAUUUGUCGCCAUCUUGUCUAACAAUUCGUUUGGUCAGGCAGUUCUUGAUCAUCUCGGCAUUCACCAGUCACACACUACGCCAGCGCCUGAAGACGACCCUCAAUUAAUUUAUAACGACUGCCAGGCGGACUUCCUUCCAGACUUUGUCGCCAUCUUGUCCAACAGCACCAUGGGACAAGCAGUGUUGGAAAACCUGCAACAGCAAGGACUGGUUACCUUCAGAUUGUCACGUGCGUAACCUGGGUAGCCAUCUUGUAUCCAGACCAUGUGCGUACACGAAGCUGGUCGAGUGGAUACAACCGUAUGUUGAAAACAAACACAUACAGAUAUAUACGUCAUAUCCAGUGCAUACAUUAAAUAUGGCAAAAACAAA